CUAAUGGGAGGGGUUUCUAAAUUUCGGUUGAAUGAAUUGUAAUUUUUUAAUAAGUUUGCGUUCAACAACAUGAAUUAUAUAGAUAAGAAAGCCCAAAAUUUAAUCAGAUUUUGAGUGCGUGUUGAAGAGUAUGCUACCACGACCACCAAAGAAUCUACCACAGACUUUACAGCAUAGAUACAACGAACAAUAACAUAACCAAAUUUUUGUGGGUAUGUUGAGUUGCUUUUUGUGUUGUUUUAAAUUUGGGUUUUCAUUAGGAAAGUUAAGGUGCAGUGUAUUUUUACUUUCGGAUUCUUUAAGAAUGUAUUUAUAGUAGUCUUAGUCAAAUUACAUAAACAUGAGCUUUCUCGAAUACGAAUUAACACCAAUCCCACGGUUAUUGAAAAACCAAUUUGGUAGCUAUUACAAUAACGCUCUAGGAAAUGGGAUUUUCUGGGCAGUUAUUUUAUGGAGCAUUUUCCGUUUAACUUAUGAAAACAUGAUUACUUUAAUAUUGAAGAGGUUUUUGUGGCCAUGUUACAUGCGUAAGAGAGUAAUUCAAUCUUCUUGAUUCGCCUGUCGUUUUUAGCAAUGAGUUUAUCAACUGGAAUUUCAUUUAUAUCAGCUGUUUUUAUUUACACACAGUAAUUUGGGAAAUACGAAAUUCAUUUCUACCUCUCCAUUAUUUAUUUUUUACAUUAUAUAUCUUUGUGUCAUAUUUACUAAGAGAUACUAAAAUUAUAUCUGUGAUGGCAGCACUAAGUAUAGUUCAAAUAUCUGUUCAAAUAAGUAGAUUAUCUAUUAUUGUGAAGAAAAGACAAUUUUCUACAUUUAAAACGAAAGAACUAAUAAACAGAUUGCGAUUAGUGAUAUUUUAUACAACUAUGGCUCUAUUGGCUUUUACGUACCUAAUAGCUUUACCAUUUAUCGUAAUUAUUCCUUUAGUGGAUAAAAUUAAGGAAAGCUAUGAACCUGUAGGAGCUUUACUCAUGUUAGCUACUUUUUUAGUUUGGUUGUUAGUACAAAUUUAUAAUUCGCCCCUGAAACGUUUAAUUUACCAUUUAAGAAACCACAGAAAGGAAUAUCCUCCAAUAGAUUGUUUAGGAACAUUAAUGGAAUGUACAAUGUUGAAACAACGAGAUGAUUUUGCAUACCAAUUACAAAUGCUUAAGAUUGAAAUGAAAGAACGACAGGCAAGAAUGUUAGUUAAUAGAAAGCCAAAAAAGGGUGCUGAUAUGCUGUUUCAAACAUUAAAAUGUAUGGUGGCAAUUAAUAAGAAAAUUAAAGCAAAAGCACAAAGAAAGCAGCAGGCUCUAAAGGAUAAACUUCAGGAACAGUUGGACGAAAAAUCGGAGCCAGAACUAAACAGGUGCCUACAAGCCGAAGAUAGCAUCGAGAACGGUAGUUAUAAAAAAAUAUUAUAAUAAAUAACAUAACUUUGAUUUUCAAUUCAGUUAUUUUAAUAUAGUAUGUGAAAACAGAGAAGUGUUAUUUAUUUAAUAUUUAUGGUACAAUAUCACCAAUGUAAUUUUGUGAAAGUAAUUGCGCUGUAAAGAAAUAUUUUUUUGAUCGUGAGAAUUUUAAAAUACAAAAAAUACAUUAACAUUUUACUGUCUA
rnacentral:misc_RNA from 1 species